rnacentral:rRNA from 1 species
UGGGGAAUAUUGCACAAUGGGCGCAAGCCUGAUGCAGGCAUGCCGCGUGUAUGAAGAAGGCCUUCGGGUUGUAAAGUACUUUCAGCGGGGAGGAAGGGAGUAAAGUUAAUACCUUUGCUCAUUGACGUUACCCGCAGAAGAAGCACCGGCUAACUCCGUGCCAGCAGCCGCGGUAAUACGGAGGGUGCAAGCGUUAAUCGGAAUUACUGGGCGUAAAGCGCACGCAGGCGGUUUGUUAAGUCAGAUGUGAAAUCCCCGGGCUCAACCUGGGAACUGCAUCUGAUACUGGCAAGCUUGAGUCUCGUAGAGGGGGGUAGAAUUCCAGGUGUAGCGGUGAAAUGCGUAGAGAUCUGGAGGAAUACCGGUGGCGAAGGCGGCCCCCUGGACGAAGACUGACGCUCAGGUGCGAAAGCGUGGGGAGCAAACAGG